rnacentral:rRNA from 1 species
UACGGAGGGGGCUAGCGUUGUUCGGAAUUACUGGGCGUAAAGAGCUCGUAGGCGGCUUGUCGCGUCGUCCGUGAAAACCAGGGGCUCAACCCCUGGCUUGCGGUCGAUACGGGCAGGCUAGAGUUCGGUAGGGGAGACUGGAAUUCCUGGUGUAGCGGUGAAAUGCGCAGAUAUCAGGAGGAACACCGGUGGCGAAGGCGGGUCUCUGGGCCGAUACUGACGCUGAGGAGCGAAAGCGUGGGGAGCGAACAGG